rnacentral:lncRNA from 1 species
CCGGCCCCGCCUAGGGCCCCGCCGCUCGCGCCUCGGCGGCUGGCCGGGACUUCGCUAGAAGCCGAUUGGCCGUCCGAGUCCAGCCCCCAGGUUCUGCAGAGAGUCGCGGAGGAGCUUGGUGGCUGGUGGCGCUCGCAGGGUUUGUCUCUCAGGGAACCAGGGACGCGCUCCUGCCGUCCUCCUGGGCCAGCGGACCAGCCCUCCGCACCCCCAAGGGAUCCAGAGCUGAAAAGCGCCUGGAAACUCCUCUCCCUGAUCCGUCGCGCGCCCUGCGCAUUCUAGGCACUACCCAGGGGUCUUUGCCGGGGACAGAGGGCCUCGGAGGAGAGACUCGUUUAACUCCAGAGACGUAGCCCCUCUACCCACCUACUGGUCGAAAAGCGCCUAAGUAAGGCCGGGGGAUGGGGAAGGCGGCAGCUGCACCAAGACCAGAAGGAAGGAGGGGGCUGAGGAACCGCGCCCAGGUGGUGGAAGGUGUCACCAAACAGCUCAGCUGAUGUACUGGAAGAAGCUGUCUUUUCCUUAUCUUCUGGCACUGCUUCAACGCUACUCUAGACUCUGGCUACAGAGAAUUCCUGUUUUCCCUCAGUACUCAGCUUUCUUUACAUUACUUUUUCCCUAAGUUGUUUUACUCAUCUUUGCGUUUGUUCAUUCUUUUGCCUCUGUCUGAAAUGCCCUGAAUCACUGUGCUAUUCUCCCAUAAAGAAAACCCAAGAUGGACAGUAGCUAAAACAGUAAAAACAGAUUUUAUUCAGGAGCUAUUGCAAUAGAGAAAAAUAGACCUCGGUAUAGAAUUGGGCUCAAUUCCCCUGUCGUAAUAGUUGCGAAUAAAAUUUUUACUGCUUUACUGUCCAACUCUGAUUUUCUUUAACAACCCCCAAAGUACACAUCAGUCUCCUACUCAUCUCUCAAAAUCAAGGUCAGAUACCACCUACACUUAUUUUUCUUCUGUGGCUCCUUCUCCCUGAUUGAACAGCUUUAGCAACUCAAGUUCAUUAGGACAGUGUCAGCUAUAACUUCUUUGGUUUCCGAGACACUGUACAUAAUCUGAUACCUAAGUCUCAUAUUGCCCAGGAAUGUACUGUACGUUUCCUGUAAGAGGUAAAUUGCCUAUUGCGGUCUUCCUCUCUAGAUUAUAAAUUCUCAAUCAGGACUUCUGGGCUUAG